rnacentral:rRNA from 1 species
UGGGGAAUAUUGCACAAUGGGCGCAAGCCUGAUGCAGCGACGCCGCGUGAGGGAUGACGGCCUUCGGGUUGUAAACCUCUUUCAGCAGGGACGAAGCGCAAGUGACGGUACCUGCAGAAGAAGCACCGGCCAACUACGUGCCAGCAGCCGCGGUAAUACGUAGGGUGCGAGCGUUGUCCGGAAUUACUGGGCGUAAAGAGCUCGUAGGCGGUUUGUCGCGUCGUCUGUGAAAUUCUGCAGCUUAACUGCAGGCGUGCAGGCGAUACGGGCAGACUUGAGUACUACAGGGGAGACUGGAAUUCCUGGUGUAGCGGUGAAAUGCGCAGAUAUCAGGAGGAACACCGGUGGCGAAGGCGGGUCUCUGGGUAGUAACUGACGCUGAGGAGCGAAAGCGUGGGUAGCGAACAGGAUUAGAUACCCUGGUAGUCCACGCCGUAAACGGUGGGUACUAGGUGUGGGUUCCAUUUCACGGGAUCCGUGCCGUAGCUAACGCAUUAAGUACCCCGCCUGGGGAGUACGGCCGCAAGGCUAAAACUUAAAGGAAUUGACGGGGUCAUAGCUGUUUCCU